rnacentral:tRNA from 1 species
AGGGAUUUAGCUCAGCGGCAUAAGCGCCUGCCUGGCAAGCAUGAGGUUGUGAGUUCAAUCCCUG